UUUCGAAAUCGGUAGACGCUACGGACUUAAAAUCCGUUGGCUUUAUUGACCGUGAGGGUUCAAGUCCCUCUACCCCCA
rnacentral:tRNA from 1 species